UACGUAGGGCGCAAGCGUUGUCCGGAAUUAUUGGGCGUAAAGAGCUCGUAGGCGGCUUGUCGCGUCGAUUGUGAAAACCCAGGGCUUAACCCUGGGCUUGCAGUGGAUACGGGUAGACUAGAGGCAGGUAGGGGAGAAUGGAAUUCCCGGUGUAGCGGUGAAAUGCGCAGAUAUCGGGAGGAACACCGGUGGCGAAGGCGGUUCUCUGGGCCUGACCUGACGCUGAGGAGCGAAAGCGUGGGGAGCGAACAGG
rnacentral:rRNA from 1 species